rnacentral:rRNA from 1 species
AUUGAACGCUGGCGGCAGGCCUAACACAUGCAAGUCGAGCGGCAGCGGGAAAGUAGCUUGCUACUUUUGCCGGCGAGCGGCGGACGGGUGAGUAAUGCCUGGGAAAUUGCCCAGUCGAGGGGGAUAACAGUUGGAAACGACUGCUAAUACCGCAUACGCCCUACGGGGGAAAGCAGGGGACCUUCGGGCCUUGCGCGAUUGGAUAUGCCCAGGUGGGAUUAGCUAGUUGGUGAGGUAAUGGCUCACCAAGGCGACGAUCCCUAGCUGGUCUGAGAGGAUGAUCAGCCACACUGGAACUGAGACACGGUCCAGACUCCUACGGGAGGCAGCAGUGGGGAAUAUUGCACAAUGGGGGAAACCCUGAUGCAGCCAUGCCGCGAGUGUGAAGAAGGCCUUCGGGUUGUAAAGCACUUUCAGCGAGGAGGAAAGGUUGAUGCCUAAUACGUAUCAACUGCGACGUUACUCGCAGAAGAAGCACCGGCUAACUCCGUGCCAGCAGCCGCGGUAA